ACUUGUAUCUCCAUCAUUAGCCCAGACCUGAUCAAGUGUUAUUACCCUCACCUGUGUUUCUCUGCCUCACUCUAGCUGCACCUCAUUCCCCAAGUUUGGUUUGUAUUCAAGUACAGUCUUUAGUUCAGUCUUUUACCUCCUUUUCCACACAUCAAAAAUCCCACUUAAACCUGCGUUUGGGUGCAAUAGGAAUGUGUAAACUCUGCAUUUACAUCCAGGUCCUGAGUCCUAUUGUUCACACACUGAUGCAGAAUCUGAAAACUCCAUUUACACGUCAAACAGAGCUCCACUCAUGACAAAGAUUUGAGAGCUGCAUCACCUGAGAACACAGGUACUGACGCCUACGUCAUGACCCCAGCAGCUGCACAGACAGGCUGGUGAUGUCUGGACACACAGAUCUAUCCAUCACUCCCACAGCAGUAGGGCAGGUCAGAUACUCACCCUCCUGAUCUUCUCUUGCCCCCACGGCCUGGCACGGUUCCUCCCAUCCUCACCUGGCCGGCCCCAACUCCUCCUGGCAUGGCUACUGUCCCUGGCAACUCACUGGCCAUCUCUGGAAG